AAGGUUACUGACGUCAGCUAAACUCCGAAUGCCGGUCAAGUGAGAGCGCAGCAGUGAGACUGUGGGGGAUAAGCUUCAUGGUCGAGAGGGAAACAGCCCAGACCACCAGUUAAGGUCCCUAAGCGUGUGCUAAGUGGGAAAGGAUGUGGAGUUGCUUAGACAACCAGGAGGUUGGCUUAGAAGCAGCCACCCUUGAAAGAGUGCGUAAUAGCUCACUGGUCAAGUGAUUCCGCGCCGACAAUUUAGCGGGGCUCAAGCACACCACCGAAACUGUGGCAUUUAGUCCCUUGCGGACUGGAUGGGUAGGGGAGCGUCGAACACUGCGGUGAAGCAGCAGCGUAAGCUCGUCUGUGGAGUGUGUUCGAGUGAGAAUGCAGGCAUGAGUAGCGAAAGACACGUGAGAAACGUGUCCGCCGAAUGACUAAGGGUUCCAGGGUCAAGCUAAUCUGCCCUGGGUUAGUCGGGACCUAAGGCGAGGCCGACAGGCGUAGUCGAUGGACAACGGGUUGAUAUUCCCGUACCGGUAUAAGACCGCCCAUGGUGAACUGGUGAUACUAACUGCCCGAAUCGUGCUGGAUUGGCCCCUUUGGGGGUCGACGUGUACGAGGAGCGCAGGACCUGAACCGGGGAGCCAAGCGUAUUAACAGGUGUGACGCAGGAAGGUAGCUGAGCCCAGCGAUGGUUGUCUGGGUCUAAGAGUGUAGCCCGAGUCCUAGGCAAAUCCGGGACUCGUUAUAUGGGUGAGACUUGAUGGGACUCCACUUUGUGGGGGAUUCAGUGAUCCUAUGCUGCCAAGAAAAGCAUCGACGCGAGGGCUUGUACCGCCCGUACCCAUAACCGACACAGGUGGUCAGGUAGAGAAUACUAAGGCGAUCGAGAGAACCACGGUUAAGGAACUCGGCAAAAUACCCCCGUAACUUCGGGAGAAGGGGGACCACCCUGGUGAUCCAGGCUUGCUUUGGUGAGCUGGUGGUGGUCGCAGAGACCAGGGGGAAGCGACUGUUUACUAAAAACACAGGUCCGUGCGAAGUCGUAAGACGAUGUAUACGGACUGACUCCUGCCCGGUGCUGGAAGGUUAAGAGGAAGGGUUAGUCCUUGUGGCGAAGCUCUGAAUUUAAGCCCCAGUAAACGGCGGUGGUAACUAUAACCAUCCUAAGGUAGCGAAAUUCCUUGUCGGGUAAGUUCCGACCUGCACGAAUGGAGUAACGACUUCCCCGCUGUCUCAACCGUGGACUCGGCGAAAUUGCACUACGAGUAAAGAUGCUCGUUACGCGCAGCAGGACGGAAAGACCCCGAGACCUUUACUAUAGCUUGGUAUUGGUGUUUGACAUCACUUGUGUAGGAUAGGUGGGAGACUUUGAAGCGGCCACGCUAGUGGUCGUGGAGUCAUCGUUGAAAUACCACUCUGGUGAUGUUAGGCAUCUAACUUCGGGCCCUGAUCGGGUCCAGGGACAGUGCCUGGUGGGUAGUUUAACUGGGGCGGUUGCCUCCUAAAGAGUAACGGAGGCGCCCAAAGGUUCCCUCAGCCUGGUUGGCAAUCAGGUGUCGAGUGUAAGUGCACAAGGGAGCUUGACUGUGAGAGCGGCAGCUCAAGCAGGAACGAAAGUUGGGACUAGUGAUCCGGCGGCACCGUGUGGAAGGGCCGUCGCUCAACGGAUAAAAGGUACCUCGGGGAUAACAGGCUGAUCCUGCCCAAGAGUCCAUAUCGACGGCAUGGUUUGGCACCUCGAUGUCGGCUCGUCGCAUCCUGGGGCUGGAGUUGGUCCCAAGGGUUGGGCUGUUCGCCCAUUAAAGCGGUACGCGAGCUGGGUUUAGAACGUCGUGAGACAGUUCGGUCCCUAUCCGCUGCGCGCGCAGGAGAUUUGAGAAGGUCUGUCCUUAGUACGAGAGGACCGGGACGGACGAACCUCUGGUGUGUCAGUUGUACUGCCAAGUGCACCGCUGAUUAGCUACGUUCGGGAUGGAUAACCGCUGAAAGCAUCUAAGUGGGAAGCCGGCUUCAAGAUAAGAUCUCCGUCACCUUUAUGGUGUGAAGGCUCCCAGCUAGACUACUGGGUUGAUAGGCCAGAUGUGGAAGCGCAGCAAUGCGUGAAGCUGACUGGUACUAAUAAGCCGACCACUUACACCACACUCAUCAUGUGUGGGCUCGGUGAAGUUUCAUUUGAACACUGCGUGUUCGCGUCCACUAGGCGGUUCUCUGCCAACAACCUCACGACACCCGUGUGGGCACAUCCUCUUGUGGGGUGUGUGUGCGGGGUGUGUGGGUCAGAGACAGAACCCUGCCCCCGGUGUUUGUGGGGGUGG
rnacentral:rRNA from 1 species